AUUGAACGCUGGCGGCAGGCCUAACACAUGCAAGUCGAGCGAGCGGCGGACGGGUGAGUAAUGUAUGGGGAUCUGCCCGAUAGAGGGGGAUAACUACUGGAAACGGUAGCUAAUACCGCAUACUAUUGGAGCGGCCGAUAUAGGAUUAGCUAGUGGGGGGGGUAAAGGAUCACCAAGGCAACGAUCCGUAGAGGGUUUGAGAGGCCGACCAGCCACACUGGGACUGAGACACGGCCCAGACUCCUACGGGAGGCAGCAGUGGGGAAUUUUGGACAAUGGGGGAAACCCUGAUCCAGCCAUCCCGCGUGUAUGAGAAGGCCUUCGGGUUGUAAAGUACUUUUGGCAGAGAAGCGGUAUCUGCAGAAUAAGCACCGGCUAACUACGUGCCAGCAGCCGCGGUAAUUC
rnacentral:rRNA from 1 species